GUGGGUGAAGCAGACACGCAGUUAAAGUAAAAUUAUAAGAAAAUAAAGAACAAACACAAAAGAGAAUACCAGAAAUUACGUGGUUCGGCUUUUAGCCUACGUCCACGGGCGAAAACAGAAGAAAAUAUUUUACUAGUGAAAUAAGGAUUACAAGUAUUGUAAUAUUUUGGCUCACAACCCAAAACCCCAAUACACCCAAUCUCUCACUCACUAGACUCUCUGCUCUGCAAGAAUUAUUUCUCACAACUCUCGACUCUCUCUACAAAAUUGAAUGCCUCUCAAAAUGGAAUUGAAUAAUUAAAACCAAAUGAAGAGCUCCCUUUAUAUAGCCAAAAUUGGCUUAUAAAAUAUUAUUAUAUUUUAAACCGCCUUUGAUUUUUCUUCAUUCUUCUUCCUCUUUUGCAGCUGCCAAAGUCUUCUUUCUUCCUCAACAAUUUCAGCAUUUUCAAUCUUCAAAGCCGUGUGCAAAAAACUUGUUUAUUCAAAGCUUCUAGAUGCAUUCAAAGCUUCUAGAUGAAUGCCAAUAUUGACAUUCUCCCACUUGGAGAUUAAAUUGAAAAUCAAUCAAUCUCCACACCAUCCUUUCUGCUUCGCCAUAAUCAUGUUGCCUACGUUUCUGCUAGGCCACAAGAGGAUCUACUCCAGACAAACUUAUCAGUAUUUAUCGGCUUGGUCAAAACAUCUGCUAGGUUCUCUUUGGUAUGGAUUUUCUGCAAAUCCACACUUCCAUCUUCCACUACUUCACGAACGAAGUGAUACUGGACUCCUAUGUGCUUUGUCCUGGAAUGAAAGGCUGGAUUCCUUGCAAUGUGCAAGGCACUCUAACUGUCACAAAAUACAGGAAUUUUCUGUUGUUUAUGCCCGAGCUCCUCCAAUAACCUUUGUAUCCAAAUAGCUUCCUUGCAAGCUUGUGUAGCUGCCAUGUACUCUGCUUCUGUUGUAGAUAAAGCCACAACGGUCUGCAGUUUCGAAACCCAGCUUACAGCUGCUCCCGCAAGUGUAAACACAUAACCAGUAGUGGAUUUCCUUUUAUCAAGAUCUCUUGCAAAAUCUGAAUCCACAUAGCCCCUGACAGUAAACUCUGAUCCUCCAUAACAUAAUGCAACAUCUGAGGUUCCUCUAAUGUAUCUCAGAAUCCUCUUCACAGCUAUCCAAUGCUCUCCACCAGGAUUCGCCAUGUAUCGACUGACUACUCCCACUGCUUGUGCAAUGUCCGGUCUAGUACAUAUCAUAACGAACAUCAAACUUCCCACUGCUGAUGCAUACGGUACUCGAGACAUCUCCUUCCUCUCUGCUUCAUUGCUAGGACACAUACUUGAGGAUAAUUUGAAAUUAACAGGAAGUGGGGUAGAAAUUGACUUACAAUCUUGGUCAUUCGAAGAGUAUAGAGUUUUCUCUUCAAGAAGAUUUUGUUGUGUAGUGACUUGGCCUCGUACAAUUUUGUGAGAGUAUCCCAUAUUUCCUUCGCCGUAUUUUUCUCUGCCACACUGGAUAAUACUCCAUCCGCAAGUGCCAAGUGUAGAUCAGAAAUGGCAUUGCCGUCUACCUCGUUCCACUUGUCAUCAGUUAUCUCCAUGGGCCUUUCUUCAAUUGCUGCCAAGCAAUUAUUUUUCCUCAAUACAGCUUUCAUCUUCAUUUUCCACAACGAAAAAUUAUUUCCGUUAAAUUUCUCAAUUUCAUACUUUGCCGCCAUUUUGUUGAUAAAUACUGCACACAAGUUAGUGUACCACCUUGAAUAGUUGUGAGUAUGUGUGAGAAUGCACACCAGGAAAGUUCCCAGGAAAGACUGGAGGGGUCACAAUGGUCCCACUUAAAACCCAGACUCCUUAAGCUCUUAUCGCCUUUGUGACAGAACUUUCCUAGACAUGUACAGAAUCACACAGUUGCUUUACUCACACCACUAUUCCCUGCUUUGCACCGCAAAAUUCUUGGAUCGCUUCCACCGUUUCACGUGAAUAGUACCGUAUACAUGAAUAGUACCGUACACCGUAUACGUGAAUAGUGCCGUACUCCGUAUACGUGAAUAGUAUCGUAUGCCGUAUACGUGAAUAGUGCCGUACACCGUAUACGUGAAUACGUGAACAAUUCCUGACUCCAAAAAUACAACCAAUAGCUCUGAUACCACUGUUAGGAAAUUGGUGGGUGAAGCAGACACGCAGUUAAAGUAAAAUUAUAAGAAAAUAAAGAACAAACACAAAAGAGGACACCAGAAAUUACGUGGUUCGGCUUUUAGCCUACGUCCACGGGCGAAAACAGAAGAAAAUAUUUUACUAGUGAAAUAAGGAUUACAAGUAUUGUAAUAUUUUGGCUCACAACCCAAAACCCCAAUACACCCAAUCUCUCACUCACUAGACUCUCUGCUCUGCAAGAAUUAUUUCUCACAACUCUCGACUCUCUCUACAAAAUUGAAUGCCUCUCAAAAUGGAAUUGAAUAAUUAAAACCAAAUGAAGAGCUCCCUUUAUAUAGCCAAAAUUGGCUUAUAAAAUAUUAUUAUAUUUUAAACCGCCUUUGAUUUUUCUUCAUUCUUCUUCCUCUUUUGCAGCUGCCAAAGUCUUCUUUCUUCCUCAACAAUUUCAGCAUUUUCAAUCUUCAAAGCCGUGUGCAAAAAACUUGUUUAUUCAAAGCUUCUAGAUGCAUUCAAAGCUUCUAGAUGAAUGCCAAUAUUGACA
rnacentral:lncRNA from 1 species